UUUAAACUAGUACCACCACCUCCCGCACAUAGAACAUCAUGGCUGCUAGUCUUUCGGCUGGGGCGGCCACGGGGAAAAAUAGAACCCCCGAGAUGAAAGGAACCCCCUUAUCCCAGAGCCACCACUCCAAGAAUUAAUAAAUAACAUAUUGACCCAAUACUUGAUCAACGAACCAAGCUACCCUGGGGAUAACAGCGCAAUCCACUUCAAGAGACCUCAUCAACAAGUGGGCUUACGACCUCGAUGUUGGAUCAGGGUAUCCUGGUGGUGCAGCCGCUACUAAAGGUUCGUUUGUUCAACGAUUAAAACCCUACGUGAUCUGAG
rnacentral:rRNA from 1 species